UACCUUCUUUACCAUGCAAUAUUAAGAUCACACCUUUUUCUGUAGUUUUUUAGCAUCGUUGAGUACGAGUUUUGUGUGUGUAGAAAUACACUUAUUUCAUCCUUAUUGAGACAACAAUGGUCGGCAAACGAUGUUGUGUUUGAGAAACUAGCAUCAAGCGUUAUAAUUUAACGCGACUUGAUAAAAUGGCUGGGAGGAGAUUAUUUCUUGGAUUAUUGCUGCAAUAGUCGCUAGCCGCUGUUGAUUGCAAGGAUUCAAGAAUCAGGAGUCAGCUUGAAGAUAUAGAAUUUGAGGUAAAAAGUGCAUUUUGUGACCUAUUUUGUUGCAAGACCUGAGGGCAUCAAAUCCGGUAUUAUGAGAAGGCGAGAAGAAAAUUUUACCAAGCUAUAGUCCAAAGCUGAAUUCUCAGAGCUUCGGUAACCAGUUGUUCUUCGAUUGUGGCGGGUUCAAUGGUGGGACGCCGUGAUAAUACUCCUCGAAACUUCGAAUCCAGAAAGAAACUGGUGAAUUGUUUAGCUGAGUGUUAGAAGUACGUGUGCUACAUGCACACCUGCGGAAUCGCCGUGGUGCAUGUGGAUUAUCCAGUAAAGUUUCAGUACAUGUCCGGCCACGCAACUUCCAUCUUCUGACUAGUCGGCCUCCAAUUUUAUCCAGUAUACUAUAAGGCCAUCCACCGAGGCCUUCAUCCAAAAGCAAUUAAUAGUUGAUCUAUUGUUGUUGCACCUACACUUUGUGUUACUGCACGACCGCCGCCUUGUUUAAGAACAUCACUUUGCCGUACACACCUUCACCUUGAGGUUUCUGAUCCACCUGACUGUGGAAUGCAGUAGUUUUGAAACCCACCUGGCAUGGGAGACCAAAAGGGUCAAACGAAGGUCUCUUCAGUAUAAUGCACACAGGUCUUAAUUACCUAAAAUCCUCUUAGAAUAGGAAAAAUCUACCCACCGAUUUUAAGAAUUUUAAAUUGCAAGUCAGGUAGGAAGGUGCUUGAGCUAAAUCAUUAAAAUUGGAAAUCGUCAAACCUUAGUACUUAAAUUUAAGUUUUCGUUUAGGUCGCUUGGACAGUGGUGGUGUCGAGAGAUAAAUUUGAGUUGUUAAAAAUGUAAUGGAAGCAACUCCAUUAGGUAUAUGAUUUGUAUUGUAGUUGUAAAAUGAAGCAAAGUUCUGAUUUUACCGCUUAAAUAAUUUAAUAAUGAAUAAAAUUGAUUAGUUUUGGUUAGUUGACUAAACUUAAUAAUUAAUGAAAGGUGCUCUUUCACGAAAUAGUAAAAAAAAAGUAAUAGAGAUAAAUAAUCACAUUUGUAUUUUAUUUUGUAUUGCUUAAAUAAAACGUUCUUGAAAAAGGUAUUUAUUCAUAGUGUGUACAUGAUUAGAUCUAUUAGUUUCAGAAAUGUUUUAAUAUAUUAUUUUUAAAAUGUAAGUGUUGUAAAGAUAUUUUAUAAAUAUUGGUACCAAAUAACCCAACUAAAUUAUGUUUCCAAAUUAAUUAUUUUUAGACAUGCAAUGUUUUACAUCUUAUUUUAUUUGUAAAAUGAGUUUUAUGCAGCACACAAAGCAGUUUGUAAUAAACCCUAUGGAUUUUUUUCCUAUGUAAUUGCCUAAGUUUUUCCUUAAAAUUAGUUAGGAAUGAUAGAAGUAGCCCAAUUCAAUCCCCAACACUAAUUUAAAAUUUUAUUGUUUUAUCUGUUUUCGUUCUUAAGAUCAAAAAUAAAAAUUGAAUUUUUCCGCCAUAUUUCUAGCUUGAUAUUUCCCUAAUGGCUAGUUUUUAACCCAACGAUUGUAUGACAUAGAACCAUUUAUUUUAAACAAAGAAUCACCUAUUUAAGUUUUUUGCAUUUAUUUUGUGUUAGGUCCGGAUCUUGUUUUUCUACUUUUUGUAUAUAUUGUAUAUUCUUUUGUUUAAUGUUGUGCAAAUUGUGUUAGGUGAGUGCAUAGUCCAUAAUUUUAAAAUAAAAUGAACUCGAUAUUUUCAUCGGUGUUCAAGGCGUAAUUCUCAAUUUUUCACAAAUUUCUGGUCCAACCAAGAUCUCUUCAACAUACCCAGGUGAUAAAAAUGCCUCAAUUCACGUCGAAACCUACCGACCGAUUGUAAGAAUUAAUUAUUGGUCAUGUUAGAGGGCGGAUAAGCUACCUAGUGACCUUUGGUAAUCCUCAUAUAAGUGAACAUUGGUAUUUAAAUGUUCGUUUAGUUCCUUUCAGAUAUUUAAUAUUACCACUUAUUCUUCCAUUAAUAAUUAAAUUUAAUUAUUAACUGAGUCACUAAUAAAUUAUUUUUAGUCUAAUCAAUUUUAUAUUAACUAUUCAGUAGCAAACUGGGGACAGACAAAAUGGAUAAAUCAUCUCUUUGGGCGGAAACAAUUCAUUUCCAAUUAUCAAGAUUUUGUCAUGAAAACAACUUUGUUAUUUGAUGCUUGUCAAAGUUUCUUAUCGUAAUUCAAUACCUAGAAGAAAUCCUAACCUAACCUGGCAAUUAAAAAAUGAAUAAAACAUUGGUUUGAUUGGAAAUAUUUCAUUUCCAAUUACCAAAAUUUUAUUAUGAAACUAGAGCUCACCAAACGUUGUUAUUUCGUGCUUGUCAAAGUCUCCGAACGUAUUUCAAUGCGAAGAAGGAAUUCUAACC